GGAGAGGUGUCUGAGUGGUUGAAAGAGCACGAUUGGAAAUCGUGUAUGUCUUGAAAAAGGCAUCGAGGGUUCGAAUCCCUCUCUCUCCACCA
rnacentral:tRNA from 1 species